UAAUACAGAGGUCUCAAGCGUUGUUCGGAAUCACUGGGCGUAAAGGGUACGUAGGCUGCAUCAUAAGUCGGGCGUGAAAGGCAGGGGCUCAACCCCUGGAGUGCGCUUGAUACUGUGAUGCUAGAGUCAUGGAGGGGGAACCGGAACUCUCGGUGUAGCAGUGAAAUGCGUAGAUAUCGAGAAGAACACUCGUGGCGAAGGCGGGUUCCUGGACAUGUACUGACGCUGAGGUACGAAGGCUAGGGGAGCGAAAGGG
rnacentral:rRNA from 1 species